UUGGUGCUUGCAUCAUGAUUUACAUUUGAGUGAGUGGCGAACUGGUGAGUAACACGUGGGAAACCUGCCCAGAAGCGGGGGAUAACACCUGGAAACAGAUGCUAAUACCGCAUAACAACUUGGACCGCAUGGUCCGAGCUUGAAAGAUGGCUUCGGCUAUCACUUUUGGAUGGUCCCGCGGCGUAUUAGCUAGAUGGUGGGGUAACGGCUCACCAUGGCAAUGAUACGUAGCCGACCUGAGAGGGUAAUCGGCCACAUUGGGACUGAGACACGGCCCAAACUCCUACGGGAGGCAGCAGUAGGGAAUCUUCCACAAUGGACGAAAGUCUGAUGGAGCAACGCCGCGUGAGUGAAGAAGGGUUUCGGCUCGUAAAACUCUGUUGUUAAAGAAGAACAUAUCUGAGAGUAACUGUUCAGGUAUUGACGGUAUUUAACCAGAAAGCCACGGCUAACUACGUGCCAGCAGCCGCGGUAAUACGUAGGUGGCAAGCGUUGUCCGGAUUUAUUGGGCGUAAAGCGAGCGCAGGCGGUUUUUUAAGUCUGAUGUGAAAGCCUUCGGCUCAACCGAAGAAGUGCAUCGGAAACUGGGAAACUUGAGUGCAGAAGAGGACAGUGGAACUCCAUGUGUAGCGGUGAAAUGCGUAGAUAUAUGGAAGAACACCAGUGGCGAAGGCGGCUGUCUGGUCUGUAACUGACGCUGAGGCUCGAAAGUAUGGGUAGCAAACAGGAUUAGAUACCCUGGUAGUCCAUACCGUAAACGAUGAAUGCUAAGUGUUGGAGGGUUUCCGCCCUUCAGUGCUGCAGCUAACGCAUUAAGCAUUCCGCCUGGGGAGUACGGCCGCAAGGCUGAAACUCAAAGGAAUUGACGGGGGCCCGCACAAGCGGUGGAGCAUGUGGUUUAAUUCGAAGCUACGCGAAGAACCUUACCAGGUCUUGACAUACUAUGCAAAUCUAAGAGAUUAGACGUUCCCUUCGGGGACAUGGAUACAGGUGGUGCAUGGUUGUCGUCAGCUCGUGUCGUGAGAUGUUGGGUUAAGUCCCGCAACGAGCGCAACCCUUAUUAUCAGUUGCCAGCAUUAAGUUGGGCACUCUGGUGAGACUGCCGGUGACAAACCGGAGGAAGGUGGGGAUGACGUCAAAUCAUCAUGCCCCUUAUGACCUGGGCUACACACGUGCUACAAUGGAUGGUACAACGAGUUGCGAACUCGCGAGAGUAAGCUAAUCUCUUAAAGCCAUUCUCAGUUCGGAUUGUAGGCUGCAACUCGCCUACAUGAAGUCGGAAUCGCUAGUAAUCGCGGAUCAGCAUGCCGCGGUGAAUACGUUCCCGGGCCUUGUACACACCGCCCGUCACACCAUGAGAGUUUGUAACACCCAAAGUCGGUGGGGUAACCUUUUAGGAACCAGCCGCCUAA
rnacentral:rRNA from 1 species